UACAUUGGCAUCACACCCAUUCCCCUUGCUUCUCAAGUAGCUGAGAAGUGACUGCUCUGUACAGCCAUGGCAUUGCAGCUGCCUAGAAUCUGACUUCCAAAGAAAUGCACAGCUAAUGCCUAGCUGGUCUAGUGGUGCAAAUGCUUAGCUCCUUUGCUUUAAGGUUGAACAUACUCUAAGGUGUAAUUUAAUGUACAAAGCUCCCUGCAAGAACCAAGCUGUGGUUGGGGUUUCACUUGAAAUCACACCCUUGCUUGGCUUCCUCUCAUUUGCUUUCUUGUUUCUCACAACCCCUCACUGGUCUCUCCAGGGAAUCCUGUCUUGACAAAUCACUUGCUGGGAAUGUUUGGCUCAAGGUUUGCUUUUGGGAGAACAUGAUCUCAGCUGCAUUAGGCAGGCUCCUGCAUCUCCAGCUGUGUGUAAGCCUCGUAACCACUCUGCUCCUAACUCUGCUCCACUCUCAUGAGAACAUAGGCGGGCAGCACAAGCCAUGCAUCGUCCCCAAACACCUGUCUCCCUUCUCCACCACCACUCAAGACCCAAGGUCCUCCAGAAGCUUGGCCCUUCUGUUCAAAGCAGUCUCAAGGGAACCAACACAUUUGUAACUGAACUCCAGCACCAUUCAUGUUCUUAAUCCCAUCUUGUCUUCUCACCAUUACAAGUACAGAUUAGUGGAUCCAUUUUAUAGUGAAGGAAACUGAAGUUCAGAAAGGUUAUACAAACUAAGUGAAUUCCCACACCCAAAAGAUAUAAGUCAUCUGACCCAGGCUUUCAACUUCAAGUCCAAUAAAUUCUUCACAUUCUUUACCAUGAUGGCCCCAUUGGCAGCCAGGCCAUGAUGUUCCCAAUUAACAAUAAAUCAUGCUUCGAUGAAGUCACACUGUGUUUGUGACAAGACAGAGUCAAAGUGACUCCACAGAGACUUUAUUUUCAGGGAUCAUUUCUAUAGUUUGUUACUAGAGACGUUUCUCUAAUCAUGUAGAGCAAGGGAAACCACGAGGAGGAGGGCGUGCCUCAAAGUGUCCUUUGUUGCUGCUGCCAUUUGCCAUCCAUGGUCAAUCUCUUCUUCGUGGAGAGAAAGAGCCGGAGGACACAGUCUGAGUGGGAAAGCCACUUGGAAAUCACAACAGCAAUUAAACAGUCAGUCCCUCUUCUGUGUAAGGGCCAGCAUUGUGGCAUAGUGAGCUAGGUCUCCGCCUGCAGUGCCGGCAUCCCAUAUGAGCGCCGGUUCAAGUUCCAGCUGCUCCACUUCAGAUCUAGCUCUCUGCUACGGACUGGGAAAGCAGUGGAAGAUGGCCCAAGUGUUUAGGACUUUGCACCCAUCUGAGAGACCCUGAAGAAGCUCCUGCCUCUUGGCUUCAGCCUAGCCCAGCCCUGGCCAUUGCAGCCACUUGGGGAGUUAACCAACAGAUGGAAGACCUUUCUCUCUGUCUCUCUGUCUCUCUCUCUCUUUGUCUGUCUGUAAAUCUAAAUCUCAAAUAAAUAAAUGCAAUCUUUUAAAAAAUAA